AAGGAAACUAUAAUCUCCUCCUUCACCUUAUCGGUCUCUUCUUUAUAAUAAUUCAGUCAUACCAAUAACUGCUAUUUCCACCAAUAUAUUCACCUUCAUAAUCUCCAAUUGUAAUACUACACCCUCAUAGCUUUCAGCACACAAUUACCCUCAUUCCAAUCACUGGAAUUCUUCAUACAAAAUUGCCAUUCACAUUACGGUGUUUCACACAAAUACAAACUCAUUCUCUCUGCUGAACUACAAUCAGAUUUCAGCAUUCAAUCUUUCUUCUUUUCAAAUAAUAUCAAUUACAUUUUCAUUCCAUAAUUCACUUCAGAAUAUUCAGAAAUUUUCAAUCCUCUUAUUCAAAGAAAAUAACAAACAAAAGAAAAGAGGUAGCACCAAGCUUAUUCCCGGCUCAGUACUAUCACAAUCCGGCAUCUUAAUUAACUUCUACAACUCCUAUAUAUAUUUUUUUUAUUUUCUAGAUUCUAACCGUAAUUC
rnacentral:lncRNA from 1 species